UAACCUGCCCAAGAGAUCGGGAUAACACCUGGAAACAGAUGCUAAUACCGGAUAACAACAGAUGAUGCCUAUCAACUGUUUAAAAGAUGGUUCUGCUAUCACUCUUGGAUGGACCUGCGGUGCAUUAGCUAGUUGGUAGGGUAACGGCCUACCAAGGCGAUGAUGCAUAGCCGAGUUGAGAGACUGAUCGGCCACAUUGGGACUUAGACACGGCCCAAACUCCUACGGGAGGCAGCAGGA
rnacentral:rRNA from 1 species